rnacentral:lncRNA from 1 species
ACUUUUUUUUUAAAAAAGAAAUGAGUUGACGACCUAAAGACGGGCUAAUAUUACAUGACGACCAAUGGACGUGAUAUGUGACGACUUAUAGACGUGACCGUCCGGAAGUCGUCUGGCUUUCCCCGGUGUAGUUUAGACGAUAAAUAACCAUAUUUCCGAAUGUUUGACGGCCUCAUACUAAAGAGAUAUCGAAUUCUGAAUAUUUUUUCUGUAUGAUUACCUAUUUACAUUGCGUCUUAAGGUCGUCAUGUCAUUACAUUGUAUUAGAAAGUGCGGACCCAUGACGACUUCGGGACGGUUUAC